AAGUGCCCAACGUGGAAAUUAUAGAUUUUAACGAAGGAACAAGAAAACUGAUGAAACAAGUUCAAAAGAAAGGAGAAAAAUGGAUAAGAACUUAAAAGUAUCUUCAAAUUUCUAAAGACAUAAUCAAACAAAGAUGAUUGUGGCAGCAUAUUUACUACUGUCUACUCCCCAAGGCAAAAACAAACAACAACAACAAAAACCAGAAGUUUCUGAAGGACAGCAGAAAUGGGAAGUUCUUUCCAUGAUGCAAGGCAAUCAAUGGAAAGUGACCUUCUUUUGUGAGCUACACCUAGGUAGCCCCAGUCAUGUGAAAUCACUGAUGGUAGCAACGGAUAAAGAUGCUGGAAGGGGAAACUGA
rnacentral:lncRNA from 13 species